rnacentral:lncRNA from 1 species
GCUUCCUCAGUCGCUUUCUCAGAGAGGAGGAAUUUGCAGUUUUAACUUCUUUUUCAGUUCAGUGCAGUUGCGAUCUUCUCUAGGGGGACGGAUUUGCUGAUGGCCUACGAUAAUGUAACCCUUGACAUCCAUGACCUUCCUCUCCCAGCUGUGAGACCCGAGAGUUGUCCCUGUGAAUGCAACACCUCUCUCCUUCGUACAAGAACGGCGCCAGUGGGCAAGUGGGUUUGGCCCUCCGGUCAGACAACGCAAGGCUGCCAAGGUUCAGAUGUGAGAUUGCAGGCGUUUCUUAAUUUGUAACACAUUAGAAGUUUGCUCGUUGCUUCUGGGAAUACAGCCAAGACCCUUUUCUUCCCUACUGGUUAUGCUACAGACAUGCACCCUGAUUCUCUUCUUAUUCUUUCCCCGGUCUUUGCCAAAUCUUAGUGACUUCGCUUUGGGGUACGCGUAAGAAAAAAUAAAUAAAUUAAAAAAUAGAAAAACA